UACGAAGGGGGCUAGCGUUGCUCGGAAUCACUGGGCGUAAAGCGCACGUAGGCGGCUUUCUAAGUCAGGGGUGAAAUCCUGGAGCUCAACUCCAGAACUGCCUUUGAUACUGGAGAGCUUUGAGUCCGGGAGAGGUGAGUGGAACUCCGAGUGUAGAGGUGAAAUUCGUAGAUAUUCGCAAGAACACCAGUGGCGAAGGCGGCUCACUGGCCCGAUACUGACGCUGAGGCACGAAAGCGUGGGGAGCAAGCAGG
rnacentral:rRNA from 1 species